CACGCAGGCGGUUUCUUAAGUCCUUUGUGAAAGCCCGGGGCUCAACUCCGGUACUGCAGAGGAUACUGGGAGACUGGAGACAGGUAGAGGCUAGCGGAAUUCCUGGUGUAGCGGUGGAAUGCGUAGAUAUCAGGAAGAACACCUGUGGCGAAGGCGGCUAGCUGGGCCUGUUCUGACGCUCAUGUGCGAAAGCGUGGGGAGCAAACA
rnacentral:rRNA from 1 species